GAUGAACGCUGGCGGCGUGCCUAACACAUGCAAGUCGAGCGUGAACCCUGCGAAUGAAACUUCGGUCGAUUUUGCAGGGGGAAAGCGGCGGACGGGUGAGUAAUGCGUAGGUAACCUGCCCCAUACUGAGGGAUAGCCUCGGGAAACCGGGAUUAAUACCUCAUAACACCGUAUAUUCGCAUGGAUGUGCGGUCAAAGAUUUAUCGGUAUGGGAUGGGCCUGCGUCUGAUUAGCUGGUUGGUGGGGUAACGGCCUACCAAGGCGACGAUCAGUAGCCGACCUGAGAGGGUGAUCGGCCACAUUGGAACUGAGACACGGUCCAAACUCCUACGGGAGGCAGCAGUGGGGAAUAUUGCACAAUGGGCGAAAGCCUGAUGCAGCAACGCCGCGUGAGCGAAGAAGGCCUUUGGGUCGUAAAAGCUACUGUCGGGUAGGAAGAAUAAUGACGGUACUACCCGAGGAAGCCCCGGGCUAACUACGUGCCCAGCAGCCGCGGUAAAAGUACUCU
rnacentral:rRNA from 1 species